UAUUAUGAGAGUUUGAUCCUGGCUCAGGACGAACGCUGGCGGCGUGCCUAAUACAUGCAAGUCGAACGCUUCUUUCCUCCCGAGUGCUUGCACUCAAUUGGAAAGAGGAGUGGCGGACGGGUGAGUAACACGUGGGUAACCUACCCAUCAGAGGGGGAUAACACUUGGAAACAGGUGCUAAUACCGCAUAACAGUUUAUGCCGCAUGGCAUAAGAGUGAAAGGCGCUUUCGGGUGUCGCUGAUGGAUGGACCCGCGGUGCAUUAGCUAGUUGGUGAGGUAACGGCUCACCAAGGCCACGAUGCAUAGCCGACCUGAGAGGGUGAUCGGCCACACUGGGACUGAGACACGGCCCAG
rnacentral:rRNA from 1 species